GCCUGGUUGGCCCAGUGGAAAGGGCGCUGCGGGGUAAGCCAAGGAGUUGCCACGAGUAACAUGUUGGCCCAGCCUCCAGAUACCCUGGUUCGAAUCCAGGACCGGGUA
rnacentral:tRNA from 1 species